CCUUCAAUCAGAAGAACACAUUUGGUUGCAUGUCCCACCACCCACUUCAGUUACCAUCCUCUAUACGUGAGUAUAGUAUGGAAUCAUAGAAUGGCUUGUGUUGGAAGGGACCUCAAAGCCCACCCAGCUCCACCUCUGCCGUGAGCACCUCCAGAGAUGGGGCACCCACAGCUUCUGGCUGCCUGUGCCAGCGCCUCACCACUCUCUGCGUAAAGAAUUUCCUCCUCACAUGUAACCUAAAUCUGCCCUCUUUUUAGUUUUAAGAACAUUUCCCCUUGUCCUAUCACUGUCAGACCAUAAAUUUGCCCACAUUGUCUUCAGUUGUUGAUACUUGACCUGAAAAUACAGCUACUCUACAGUGUGUAUGAGCAACACAGAGCCAAACGCUCACCUCUCCAGCUCCCUUGCCUUCCUCCCUCCCUAGGUGUUUGGUUGGCAGAAGAGCAUCAUCCUUCAAAUUCCAAGUUUUAUUUAAAAAGCUGGACUUGGCCCUUUAAAACCAUUUGCAAUCCAUCAGUGAGAAGGUUCACAUGGAAGCAUCAUGCCACUGAAAUCAUCCAUGCCAGCGGGGAUAUUUCAACCAACCCCAUCCUUCCUGCUGCCGUCUCUGCAGCCAGCUGGACCACGCUGCAGCUUUGGCUUUCAGCUCUUACCUGUGGCCUUGUGCUUUCUGACACGCUCAAAGCACACAUAGAAGGACCAAUAAAACACGUCCCAGAGCAUCUGCUGUAUUUUUAGAGUUUGUCCCAGAUUAUUGGCCUUUGUUCCAGAUUUCAGUGGUGAGAGUAUAAGAAUGCCCAGUGGGGCCAAAUGCAUCCUGCACUGCACUCCUGAAGGCUUGAAUCAGGAAAAAUACUCUCCCAGAGAAGAUAAAUAAUUAAGUUUUUGUGGCAAAUACUGCCAUUAGCAGGAGGUGAUAAGCAUUCAAGACUACAGUGUAUAUAGAGCAAGGCAGAUGCACUGAGCUUCAAAUUGCAACAUUGCUCUGUUAUGUUGUACUGAGUAAUGAACUGGGCAUCUCUGGCACAGUGAUUUUUCUUUUGUUUGUUUUGGGUCCACGUUUUCCUUUUACACCAUGGAUGAUGGCCUUUGCUUACUGGGAGCUAAGUUGUCUGGAGGAGACCCAUCUUCAUGUGCUGGCAGCUGGUGAAGUGCAAAUGGAGAGGUGAUGUUGAAAGGGAUCUUCAGGUGUCACCCCGUCCAUCCUCCUCCCUUUGGCACCCUCCUGGUUACACUGCAGAACCUUGGGAUGCUGCAGGGCUCCUUGAUGGGCUCAUUCAAGCAACUCCCAAGUUUCACAGGCACUCACCUUGGUCUUAUUGGUUCACCCUCCUAUCAGCUGCUUUGCACUCAGAUGUCCUAAUAUGCCGUCUGCAGCAGCUUCCUAGCACAGAGCAUACUGUGUGUCAUAAGAGUACCAGGUGUGAAAACUAUUCAGUUAAGUUCUCCAUCACUAUUCCAUCCAUCUUCUAGAGAGACAGGACAGACACACUGCUGAUACGGG
ensembl:lncRNA